rnacentral:SRP_RNA from 1 species
GCCAGGUGUGGUGGUGCAUCCCUGUAGUCCCAACUACUUGGGAGGCUGUGGCAGGAGGAUCGCUUGAACCCAGGAGUUCUGGACUGACAUGUGCUAUGUCAGUCAGGUGUCUGCACUAAGUUGAGCAUCAAUGUGGUGACCUCCUGAGAGAGGGGUCAUUACCAGGUUUCCUAAGGAGGCAUGGUGAACUGGCCCAACUCAGAAACAGAGCAGGUCAAAACUCCUGUGCUGAUCAGUAGUAGGAUUGCACCUGUGAACAGCCACCACGCUCCAACCAGGGCAACGUAGCGAGACCCUGUCUCU